rnacentral:lncRNA from 1 species
GCGCUCAUCCACACGAGAGCAGUCAAAUUCAGAUUUGCCCAGUUUCCUGUUCACUUCAUUGUGAAGAAGACAUAACCACUGGGAGAAGUUAUUUCUGUUGCUAGUAUCAGGCUGAUUUGUUCGCAAUCUUUCCCUCAGAUCCUCAGCGCAGUGCUCACACGGGUAGAACUUAGAGAAGAGGUGGAUGAAGUCCCUCAUCUCCUGCUGCUGGGUGCCCGAGGGCCGCUCGGGGUAGUAGGCCGCCAUGGUGUGCAGGAAGGCCCAGGUGCUGCGGCCCAGCUGCUCGCUGUCCAGGGGGCAGUCGGGGGGCGGCUCCUUCUCCUCCACCGCGGCCACGGCGCCCGCCGCUGCCUGCUUCUUCUGCUCGCGGAGCCAGCUCUUGAAAUCCGUACAAGCCCUGCACGGCUUCUUGGGUUGCUCCUCCGCUCCGGAGCCGGCAGCCCCAGACGGAACGGUGAAAGGGAA